rfam:Lactobacillus mucosae LM1, complete genome.
UGAAAAACCAUGAGAAAGACGAGUAGCUGUUUUCAUUCGUAAAGUGAGCCGAGGAUAAUGGGAACUUGGCCGACCCUGAUACAGCGAAAAACACUUCCCCGCGUUGCUGACCCAAAUGGAUUCAUCCAAAGUAGGCUCAGACGUUUUCGACACGUUACAGUCGAUGGAGCAUGUUUGUGCUCUGAUCAAAGCGGUCUGGAUAUCUCUGGACAACUUGGGUGGCACCGCGGAAUAAAGCCUUUCGUCCCAUGA